GGUUAAGCGACUAAGCGUACACGGUGGAUGCCCUGGCAGUCAGAGGCGAUGAAGGACGUGCUAAUCUGCGAUAAGCGUCGGUAAGGUGAUAUGAACCGUUAUAACCGGCGAUUUCCGAAUGGGGAAACCCAGUGUGUUUCGACACACUAUCAUUAACUGAAUCCAUAGGUUAAUGAGGCGAACCGGGGGA
rnacentral:rRNA from 1 species